rnacentral:rRNA from 1 species
UACGAAGGGGGCUAGCGUUGCUCGGAAUGACUGGGCGUAAAGGGCGCGUAGGCGGGCUGUCAAGUCUGGGGUGAAAUGCCGCGGCUCAACCGUGGAACUGCCUUAGAUACUGACGGCCUCGAGGGAGGUAGGGGCGUGCGGAACUGUAGGUGGAGCGGUGAAAUGCGUUGAUAUCUACAGGAACUCCGGUGGCGAAAGCGGCGCGCUGGACCUCUUCUGACGCUGAGGCGCGAAAGCUAGGGGAGCAAACGGG